rnacentral:rRNA from 1 species
UACGUAGGGGGCUAGCGUUGUCCGGAAUCAUUGGGCGUAAAGAGCGCGUAGGCGGCUAGAUAAGUCCGGUGUGAAAGUCACAGGCUCAACCUGUGAAUGCCGCUGGAAACUGUCUGGCUAGAGUCCGGAAGGGGCGAGUGGAAUUCCUGGUGUAGCGGUGAAAUGCGCAGAUAUCAGGAGGAACACCAAUGGCGAAGGCAGCUCGCUGGGACGGUACUGACGCUGAGGCGCGAAAGCGUGGGGGGCAAACAGG